GCCUGGGUGGCUCAGUCAGUUGAGCGCCUGACUUCAGCUCAGGUCAUGAUCUCACGGUUUGUGGGUUCGAGACCCGCAUCAGGCU
rnacentral:tRNA from 1 species